UACGGGGGGGGCAAGCGUUGUUCGGAAUCACUGGGCUUAAAGCGUGUGUAGGCGGCCUUCUAAGUACCUUGUGAAAUCCCACGGCUCACCCGUGGAACUGCUCGGUAUACUGGUCGUCUUGAGCCUUCUAGGGGCGAGUGGAACAAAUGGUGGAGCGGUGAAAUGCGUAGAUAUCAUUUGGAACGCCAAUGGUGAAAACAACUCGCUGGGGAAGUGCUGACGCUGAGACACGAAAGCCAGGGGAGCGAACGGG
rnacentral:rRNA from 1 species